GCCGUGUUACCUUAGCGGGGAGGAGGGUCGGUCCUGAAAACCGUUGUGUGUAAAAAGCACUGGGAGUUCGAAUCUCUCACACGGCGCCA
rnacentral:tRNA from 1 species